rnacentral:rRNA from 1 species
GACGAACGCUGGCGGCGUGCUUAACACAUGCAAGUCGAACGGAAAGUCCCUUCUUUUGUGGGGUGCUCUAGUUUCGAACGUGUUAGUAACACUUUAGUAACCUGCCCUUGACUUUGUGAUAACUUCAGUAAACUUGUGCUAAUACCUGAUAGGAUCUCCUACUGCUUGGUGGGGGUUGGAAAUUUUCGGCGGUUGGGGAUUGACUCGCGGCUUAUCAGCUUGUUGGUGGGGUAGUGGCUUACCAAGGCUUUGACGGGUAGCCGGCCUGAUAGGGUGACCAGUCAGAUGGGGACUGAGAUACGGCCAAGACUCCUAAGGGAGGAAGCAGUGGGGAAUAUUGAAAAAUGGGCGGAAGACUGAUGCAGAAACGACGAGUGAGGGAUGACGGACAUCGGGUUGUAAACCGCUUUGGCCUGUGACGAAGCGUGAGUGAAGGUAAUGGGUAAAGAAGCACCGGCUAAGUACGUG